rnacentral:rRNA from 1 species
GACGAACGCUGGCGGCGUGCUUAACACAUGCAAGUCGAACGGAAAGGCCUCUUUCGGGGGGUACUCGAGUGGCGAACGGGUGAGUAACACGUGAGUAACCUGCCCUUGACUUUGGGAUAACUUCAGGAAACUGGGGCUAAUACCGGAUAGGAGCUCCUGCUGCAUGGUGGGGGUUGGAAAGUUUCGGCGGUUGGGGAUGGACUCGCGGCUUAUCAGCUUGUUGGUGGGGUAGUGGCUUACCAAGGCUUUGACGGGUAGCCGGCCUGAGAGGGUGACCGGCCACAUUGGGACUGAGAUACGGCCCAGACUCCUACGGGAGGGAGCAGUGGGGAAUAUUGCACAAUGGGUGGAAGCCUGAUGCAGCAACGCCGUGUGCGGGAUGACGGCCUUCGGGUUGUAAACCGCUUUCGCUCAUGACGAAGCUUUGUGUGACGGUAGUGGGUAAAGAAGCACCGGCUAACUACGUG